rnacentral:rRNA from 1 species
GAAGACCGAUAGCGAACAAGUACCGUGAGGGAAAGAUGAAAAGCACUUUGGAAAGAGUUAAACAGUAUGUGAAAUUGUUGAAAGGGAAACGAUGGAGGUCAGUCGUGUCUGUGGGAUUCAGCCGUCUCUGGCGGUGUACUUCCCACAGACGGGUCAACAUCAGUUUUGGCUGGCGGAUAAAGGCAGGAGGAAGGUGGCACCCCCGGGUGUGUUAUAGCCUCUUGUUGCAUACGCUGGCUGAGACUGAGGAAUGCAGCUCGCCUUUAUGGCCGGGGUUCGCCCACGUUCGAGCUUAGGAUGUUGACAUAAUGGCCUUCAACGACCCGUCUUGAAACACGGACCAAG